rnacentral:rRNA from 1 species
AUGCAAGUCGAACGAGAAAGUGGAGCAAUCCAUGAGUACAGUGGCGUACGGGUGAGUAACACGUGACUAACCUACCCUCGAGUGGGGAAUAACUUCGGGAAACCGAGGCUAAUACCGCAUAACAUCUACGGAUCAAAUGCGCAAGCAGCUUGAGGAGGGGGUCGCGGCUGAUUAGCUAGUUGGCGGGGUAACGGCCCACCAAGGCAAUGAUCAGUAGCCGGCCUGAGAGGGCGCACGGCCACACUGGAACUGAAACACGGUCCAGACUCCUACGGGAGGCAGCAGUGGGGAAUUUUGCGCAAUGGGGGAAACCCUGACGCAGCAACGCCGCGUGGAGGAUGAAGCCCCUUGGGGUGUAAACUCCUUUCGAUCGGGACGAUUAUGACGGUACCGGAUGAAGAAGCACCGGCUAACUCUGUGCCAGCAGCCGCGGUAAUACAGAGGGUGCAAGCGUUGUUCGGAAUUAUUGGGCGUAAAGGGUGCGUANGCGGUGCGGUAAGUCUUCUGUGAAACCUCC